AGACACCCAGUUACAUUUGAACUUUAGGUAAACAGUGAAUAAUUAAUAUGUGUGUCCCAAAUAUUGCAUGGGACAUAUUUAUGCUAAAAAACUAUUUGUUGUUUCUCUGAAAUUCAAAUUUAAUUGGGCAUCCUGU
rnacentral:miRNA from 1 species